UUUUGGACAAUGGGGGAAACCCUGAUCCAGCCAUCCCGCGUGUAUGAUGAAGGCCUUCGGGUUGUAAAGUACUUUUGGCAGAGAAGAAAAGGAAUCCCCUAAUACGGGAUACUGCUGACGGUAUCUGCAGAAUAAGCACCGGCUAACUACGUGCCAGCAGCCGCGGUAAUACGUAGGGUGUAAGCGUUAAUCGGAAUUACUGGGCGUAAAGCGUGUGUAAGCUGUUCGGAAAGAAAUAUACUACAUCCCAGGGCUCAACCUUGGAACUGCAUUAUUAACUGCCAAACUAGAGUAUGUCAGAGGUGGAUAGAAUUCCACGUGUAGCAGUGAAAUGCGUAGAUAUAUGGAGGAAUACCCAUAGCGAAAGCAGCCCCCUGGGAUAAUACUGACGCUCAGACACGAAAGCGUGGGGAGCAAACAGG
rnacentral:rRNA from 1 species